rnacentral:rRNA from 1 species
GGUUAAGUUAGAAAGGGCGCACGGUGGAUGCCUUGGCACUAGGAGCCGAUGAAGGACGGGACGAACACCGAUAUGCUUCGGGGAGCUGUAAGCAAGCUUUGAUCCGGAGAUUUCCGAAUGGGGAAACCCACCACUCGUAAUGGAGUGGUAUCCAUAUCUGAAUACAUAGGAUAUGAGAAGGCAGACCCGGGGAACUGAAACAUCUAAGUACCCGGAGGAAGAGAAAGCAAAUGCGAUUCCCUGAGUAGCGGCGAGCGAAACGGGACCAGCCCAAACCAAGAGGCUUGCCUCUUGGGGUUGUAGGACACUCUGUACGGAGUUACAAAGGAACGAGGUAGAUGAAGAGGUCUGGAAAGGCCCGCCAUAGAAGGUAACAGCCCUGUAGUCAAAACUUCGUUCUCUCCUGAGUGGAUCCUGAGUACGGCGGAACACGUGAAAUUCCGUCGGAAUCCGGGAGGACCAUCUCCCAAGGCUAAAUACUCCCUAGUGACCGAUAGUGAACCAGUACCGUGAGGGAAAGGUGAAAAGCACCCCGGAAGGGGAGUGAAAGAGAUCCUGAAACCGUGUGCCUACAAGUAGUCAGAGCCCGUUAACGGGUGAUGGCGUGCCUUUUGUAGAAUGAACCGGCGAGUUACGAUCCCGUGCAAGGUUAAGCAGAAGAUGCGGAGCCGCAGCGAAAGCGAGUCUGAAUAGGGCGAAUUGAGUACGUGGUCGUAGACCCGAAACCAGGUGAUCUACCCAUGUCCAGGGUGAAGUUCAGGUAACACUGAAUGGAGGCCCGAACCCACGCACGUUGAAAAGUGCGGGGAUGAGGUGUGGGUAGGGGUGAAAUGCCAAUCGAACCUGGAGAUAGCUGGUUCUCUCCGAAAUAGCUUUAGGGCUAGCCUCAAGGUAAGAGUCUCGGAGGUAGAGCACUGAUUGGACUAGGGGCCCCUACCGGGUUACCGAAUUCAGUCAAACUCCGAAUGCCGAUGACUUAUCCUUGGGAGUCAGACUGCGAGUGAUAAGAUCCGUAGUCGAAAGGGAAACAGCCCAGACCGCCAGCUAAGGUCCCAAAGUAUACGUUAAGUGGAAAAGGAUGUGGAGUUGCUUAGACAACCAGGAUGUUGGCUUAGAAGCAGCCACCAUUUAAAGAGUGCGUAAUAGCUCACUGGUCGAGUGACUCUGCGCCGAAAAUGUACCGGGGCUAAACGUAUCACCGAAGCUGCGGACUGUUCUUCGAACAGUGGUAGGAGAGCGUUCUAAGGGCUGUGAAGCAAGACCGGAAGGACUUGUGGAGCGCUUAGAAGUGAGAAUGCCGGUAUGAGUAGCGAAAGAGGGGUGAGAAUCCCCUCCACCGAAUGCCUAAGGUUUCCUGAGGAAGGCUCGUCCGCUCAGGGUUAGUCGGGACCUAAGCCGAGGCCGAAAGGCGUAGGCGAUGGACAACAGGUUGAUAUUCCUGUACCACCUCCUCACCAUUUGAGCAAUGGGGGGACGCAGGAGGAUAGGGUAAGCGCGGUAUUGGAUAUCCGCGUCCAAGCAGUUAGGCUGGGAAAUAGGCAAAUCCGUUUCCCGUGAAGGCUGAGCUGUGAUGGCGAGCGAAUUAUAGUAGCGAAGUUCCUGAUUCCACACUGCCAAGAAAAGCCUCUAGCGAGGUGAGAGGUGCCCGUACCGCAAACCGACACAGGUAGGCGAGGAGAGAAUCCUAAGGUGAUCGAGAGAACUCUCGUUAAGGAACUCGGCAAAAUGACCCCGUAACUUCGGGAGAAGGGGUGCUCUGUUAGGGUGCAAGCCCGAGAGAGCCGCAGUGAAUAGGCCCAGGCGACUGUUUAGCAAAAACACAGGUCUCUGCGAAGCCGUAAGGCGAAGUAUAGGGGCUGACGCCUGCCCGGUGCUGGAAGGUUAAGAGGAGCGCUUAGCGUAAGCGAAGGUGCGAAUUGAAGCCCCAGUAAACGGCGGCCGUAACUAUAACGGUCCUAAGGUAGCGAAAUUCCUUGUCGGGUAAGUUCCGACCCGCACGAAAGGCGCAACGAUCUGGGCACUGUCUCAACGAGAGACUCGGUGAAAUUAUAGUACCUGUGAAGAUGCAGGUUACCCGCGACAGGACGGAAAGACCCCGUGGAGCUUUACUGCAGCCUGAUAUUGAAUGUUGGUACAGCUUGUACAGGAUAGGUAGGAGCCUUGGAAACCGGAGCGCCAGCUUCGGUGGAGGCAUCGGUGGGAUACUACCCUGGCUGUAUUGACCUUCUAACCCGCCGCCCUUAUCGGGCGGGGAGACAGUGUCAGGUGGGCAGUUUGACUGGGGCGGUCGCCUCCUAAAAGGUAACGGAGGCGCCCAAAGGUUCCCUCAGAAUGGUUGGAAAUCAUUCGCAGAGUGUAAAGGCACAAGGGAGCUUGACUGCGAGACCUACAAGUCGAGCAGGGACGAAAGUCGGGCUUAGUGAUCCGGUGGUUCCGCAUGGAAGGGCCAUCGCUCAACGGAUAAAAGCUACCCCGGGGAUAACAGGCUUAUCUCCCCCAAGAGUCCACAUCGACGGGGAGGUUUGGCACCUCGAUGUCGGCUCAUCGCAUCCUGGGGCUGUAGUCGGUCCCAAGGGUUGGGCUGUUCGCCCAUUAAAGCGGUACGCGAGCUGGGUUCAGAACGUCGUGAGACAGUUCGGUCCCUAUCCGUCGCGGGCGCAGGAAAUUUGAGAGGAGCUGUCCUUAGUACGAGAGGACCGGGAUGGACGCACCGCUGGUGUACCAGUUGUUCUGCCAAGGGCAUCGCUGGGUAGCUAUGUGCGGACGGGAUAAGUGCUGAAAGCAUCUAAGCAUGAAGCCCCCCUCAAGAUGAGAUUUCCCAUUCCGCAAGGAAGUAAGAUCCCUGAAAGAUGAUCAGGUUGAUAGGUCUGAGGUGGAAGUGUGGCGACACAUGGAGCUGACAGAUACUAAUCGAUCGAGGACUUAACCAA